AAUGUCCUGGUGCUUACUACAGGCUGUGUUCUCACACUGACUGUAUAGAAAGAGGAGGCAGAGUUAACCUACCCUGUGCACACCCAGCCCAGGACCCAGGCCUCGUCUGUAUUGUGAAUGGGGGGACAUGG
ensembl:snoRNA